rnacentral:rRNA from 1 species
UACAGAGGGUGCGAGCGUUAAUCGGAAUUACUGGGCGUAAAGCGUGCGUAGACGGUUAUCUAAGUCGGAUGUGAAAGCCCCGGGCUCAACCUGGGAAUUGCAUUCGAGACUGAAUAGCUAGGGUGCGGUAGAGGGAAGCGGAAUUUCCGGUGUAGCGGUGAAAUGCGUAGAUAUCUGGAGGAACACCGGUGGCGAAGGCGACAUCCUGGACCGGUAUUGACGCUGAGGCGCGAAAGCCAGGGGAGCAAACGGG